UACAGAGGGGGCAAGCGUUGUUCGGAAUUAUUGGGCGUAAAGGGCGCGUAGGCGGCGCGGUAAGUCACUUGUGAAAUCUCUGAGCUUAACUCAGAACGGCCAAGUGAUACUGCAGUGCUAGAGUGUGGAAGGGGCAAUCGGAAUUCUUGGUGUAGCGGUGAAAUGCGUAGAUAUCAAGAGGAACACCUGAGGUGAAGACGGGUUGCUGGGCCAACACUGACGCUGAUGCGCGAAAGCCAGGGGAGCAAACGGG
rnacentral:rRNA from 1 species